UCCCGAGUGGUGAUGGUCACCAGCCUGGUUCUGGCCCAGGUGUCCGUUGGUUCGAUUCCAGCCUUGGGAG
rnacentral:tRNA from 1 species